CUGCAGCUCCGUAUAAUACGUGUGCCUCGACUGUGACCUACUAGAUUCAGGCGAACGUCCCAGC
rnacentral:rRNA from 1 species